GAAAGACAACUGCGUUUUGAAGCUUCUAGCGCCUCAAGUUUUUGGAUAUUUUAGUUGUAUGUUGAACCAAGGUCACAAACUAAAAAUGUCUCGUUACAGGGUAUUUAAGAAUUUUGCUAACGUAAGUCAGUCAUGUACAAUUACGAUAAUAUCAUAAUUAUUAAUCAAUGAUUGUACUAGCGUCACAGAACUAUAAGCAUGCAGACUAGCCUAAUCCAGAGGCCUUGUAAGGUUGGAGGAGUAGUCCAUUUUUCCAGAACAAGACAUGACAUGUUCACGUGUCCCCGUUGUCCACCGAAUUGGUCCGAAAUGGCUCUUCUUCGCAUGCAGCAUGCGAUUGCGAUGCUAGUGCUGAAAAAUAUCCUCUUCUUUGUAAUCAACUCCACCUUGAACAAACAUGGCUUGUUUGCAGUACACGUAAGCCACCAUAUCUAAUUCUAUCCAGAAAAAGUACGCAUAAUUGUUGUUAAUGCGCGCAAAAGAAAGUGUAUGAUUUAUGCAAAGAAGAAAUUAUAUCCAUAGUUCUUGACCCACCCUACCACCACGUAUUAUAAAUAAUUGCUCACAUUAUUCCGAACUUUUGAGAAACUCUUCCAUGAGAUAGGCCUAUUCCGCAAACCAACUAUAGAAAUGACAUGUUUACUAAUAAGUAACGAAAAUACAAAGAAAGAUAAUAUAAUAAAGAAUAAAAAGAAUCGAAUUAACUAUCUUCUCUUUGUUGAUAUUAGUUGGUGUCGUAGAGUGAGGCUUUCGUCUCCCAAGAAUCUUUGGAUCAAUUAAUUUGUAACACAGGUUUAUUUGCAAGAUACAUGACAAAGGAUAAAUUACAAAAUCAAAUCAAGUCCACGUAAAUAAUGAGAUGGAUUUAACAAUGUUAAUUAUUUUAUCUUACACAACUUCCAAAUAGAAAAAUAUGUAUCAAAAGUAGGGGUGGGCAUCAAUCCGGCCGAACCGAUUAUAUUGGAUUGGUUUGGUUUGGUUUUGACCAAAGAAAAAGUCAACAUUUUGAAAACCGAACCGAACCGGUUUGGUUUGGUUCAGCUGUGGUUUGAGAGUUUUAAAAACUGUCCUAAACCGAACCGGACCGAUUAUAAAUCAAUUUAUUAUUUAUUUAAUUUAGUUUACAUGUGGCAAGGUUUGAGUGGUUAUUUAAGAGUGUACCAUGUACCCUGCAACACUUGAUUGGACUCCAAAACUACAACUCACGGACACAUCUAAGUUAUCUAACCAUUCUCUCUCCCUCAGAAGAGCCUCUCUCCUAUCUCCCUUCCUUCGUCUCUUAACCCUAGCUGCAACUCCCUCUCAUUAUUUCUCCAUCUCUCUCUGCUACCUCUCCCUCUCUCUUUGUCUCUCUGCUACCUCUCCCUCUCUCUUUGUCUCUCUGCUACAUCUCCCUCUCCCUCUCCCUCGACGCUAACUCAAGCCAACAUGAUUCGAACUCGGCGAAACCCACCCAUUUGUCCUCAGCGAAAUCCAUCUCUACAAAACUCAAGUUCCAUCAUCGACCACCAGGUUAUGCAAGGAUUGAUUAUGGGAAUAUUGUUGGUGGUGGAUCGUCAUCAUCAGCUGGGUUUGUAAAAUAUGCUAGUUCUGUCUACUACUUUAUUUUUUGUAUUGUCUCCAAUAACUGGUUAUAUAUAAAAAGUUAGAGAGUUGAAAAAUAAAAUGGUAUUUUCUAUGAGGCCUAAUUUUUCAUUUUUAUGGUUGUAAAAUAUGCUAAUCUAUUUUAUUGUACAAAAAGACUGUAGCAUACCUUGCUUUGAUUUAGUUUUGUUCAUAGAAUAAUGUAUAUAAAAUGUUGCUUAUGUGAUAUUAAUGCUUGAUGCCUGUUCACAAGAGAAAAGAUCAAAUGUUGUGAACAACAGAAGAGACAUGCGUGGGGAGGAAACCAACAGAGGAAUCUCAUGCCUCCUUAGUGUUUUUAAUACCACACAAAAGCUGGUGCAGCACUUGGGAAGAUACAAGUGUGGAGAAUUGCCACCAAACCAUCAGUCCUAUUUUUUCCUUUGUAAUAACUAUAUAAUUAAGCACAAUAAGAUUGUAUUUCUUUGAGAAUCAUGUUCUCUAAUAAUUAUUAUUGCUUGCAGCUUCUUUUCUUUGUAUGUUUUUUCUUUACCUCUUGUAUGAUUAGUGAAUGUUUUAUGCGUUUGAUAUUAGGAAACUUGAGAAUGAACAUGUUCGGUGACACAGAGAAAAUGAUGUUUUCUUUUAUGCUAAACCGGCCGAACCAAACCGUACCGAACCGGAUAUGAAUCGUUUGGUUUGGUUCGGUUUUCAUUUUAAUUUUAGCUCAAACCGAACCACACCGAACCGUAAAAGUUUAAUUGGUUCAGCUGUGGUUUGAGGGUGAAACCGGACCAAACCGAACCGUGCCCACCCCUAAUCAAAAGCAUAUGAUUAAUGCAGUUCUCUUCCAAUGAAUAAUUUGCCGGCCCUGCACAAUAUAUUGACGCGGGAAUCUGAGAAUCUCGUUAAGCAUAAUUAUCACGUUAAUAAUCGUAAUUAGUCAACUUUAUAAACAAACACUGAACUCGCCCGACCCGACCCGACUCAAAUCCACGUCACUCUUCACUGUUUAUUCUGCCACUUUUUUGUCUCUUUCUCUCUCUCUCUCUCACAUACGACUUGUCGUCCUCAACGACGACGACGACCGAAUCGCCUUGGCAAUCUCUCUGAGCACAAACUUCUGAAUCUUCCCAGUCGAAGUCUUCGGGAGCUCGUCCUUAAACACCACCGUUUUGGGCACCAUGUAGUGCGGCAGAUUUUCCCUGCAAUACUCCAUGAUCUCCUUCUCCGUCGGCUUAGGGCUCACGUCACUCUUCAAGCUCACAAACGCGCACGGCGUCUCCCCCCAGAACUCGUCGGGCUUCGCCACCACCGCCGCUUCGUUCACAGCCGGAUUCGCAUAGAGCACGGACUCAACCUCCACGCUGCUCAGAUUCUCGCCCCCUGUUAUAAUAACGUCCUUGGAUCUGUCCUUAAUUUCCAAAUAGCCAUCGGGAUGCAUCACGCCCACGUCACCCGUAUAAAACCACCCGUUUUUCUUCAAACAUUUUGCUGUACUCUCCGGGUCUUUGAAAUACCCCAGCAUCACGCACCCGCCUUUGAACACUAUCUCCCCAAUCUCCGACCCGUCUCGCUUCACUGGCGAACCCGAAUCCGGAUCCACCACGUCCACCUCCGUCAUCCCAAUCGUCCUCACCCCUUGUCUCGCUUUCAGCUUCGCUUUUUCCGUCAUCGGGUAUUUAUUCCACUCCGGCUUCCAAGCACAUGACACGACCACCCCACCCGUUUCCGUCAACCCGUAACCGUGGCAAACCAAGAACCCGAUUGACUCGGCCCGAAGCAGGACGCUUGACGGCGGCGGGGCUCCACCGGUGAGGAUGUGAACCGGGUGAGGGAGCGGGACGGAUAUCGGGUGGUUGACGAGCAUGUUGAGCACGACCGGCGCGGCGCACAUGUGAGUGACGUUGUGGGCUCGGAUUGAGCUGUAGAUUUUGGGAGCGUCGAACUUGCGGAGGCAAAUGUUGGUUCCACCCACUGCGGCCAUGGCCCACGGGUACCCCCACCCGUUUGAGUGGAACAUCGGUAAAGUCCACAGGUACACGCAGUGUUUGGGUACGGACCAGUCUAUGAUGGAAACCAAGGUGACGAUGUACAAGCCUCUGUGGCUGUGCACGACGCCUUUCGGAGACGACGUCGUUCCGGAGGUGUAGUUUAAAACCAUCGGGGCCCACUCGCUAGCCGGCCGGACCCACUCGAACGACGGAUUCCCUUUCCUCACUAGAUUCUCGUAAGUGUCAAGGAAGUACUUAUUAUCAACGGCUGGGAUUGGUGUUGAGCGGUGCUCAUCAUCGGUGAUGAGGAUGAGAAGCGGUUUUGGGAGGUGAGGCGGGAAGAGAGAGAGUGCUUGGAGGGUGAGAGAGACGGAGAGGUGGUCGACGAAGAUGAGCUUUGAUUCGCUGUGGCGCAGGAUGAUGGAGAUGGUGUGGGCGUCGAGGCGGGUGUUGAUGUUGUUGAGGAUGGCCCCGGACAUGGGGACCGCAAAGUGAAGCUCGUACAUGGCUGGGGUGUUGGGGGCCACCACGGAGACCACCUGGGAGCGCUUGACGAGGGAGGAGAUGGAGGAGGCCAGCUGGAGGCAUCGACGGUGAGUUUGGGACCAAGUGUAGGUUGUGGUAGUAGUGGUGGCGGUGUAGAUGAUGGAUGGGCAGUCGCCGUUGACAACCGCAGCUCUUUCGAGGAGAGUGAGGGGAGUGAGAGGGCAGAGAUUUGCAGGGCUUGGCUUCAACUGGUCCAUUUUUGGGAGGAGUUUGAAAUGGCGAGAGAGAGAGAGAGAGAGAGAGAGAGGAUGAAGAGGUUGUGAGAGUGGUGAAAGGAGAGGGAGGUUUGCAUUGGUUUUAAGUACACAAAAAGCUGAGGCUUUAUGGGGAGUGUCAAGCAACUUUCUCUCACACUUUCUGUUUUGGACAUUUUCACUUCUUUCCAUGACAAGUGUUAUUUUUCUUACACUAAAAACAAUAUUAUUAAUGCAUCACAUAAACUAAUUUUUAUUUUCUAAAUUUAUCCUUAUUAAAUGUAUUUAUUUUUUUUAAUAACAAGCUAAUUUUUUUAUAACUUUCUUACCACAUUGUUAAAAAUUAAAUAAGAAAAUAAAAACUAAAGUUUUUUUAAAAUUUUAAUUUUUCUAAAGAGAAUGCGUAACAAAAUAAAGAUAAUAACAAUGUCAUGAAACAAACUUUAUUUUUAUUUUAUUUUUAAAUAUAACGUUUUUCUUAUGUUUUUUUUAUUAUUUAUUUUUUUACAAUGUGCUAAAGAAAUUAUAAGAAAAAUUUGAAUAAAUUGAAGGAAAUAUAAAAGCCAAUACAUUUUAAAAGAUAAAUUUGAAAAACAAAAACUAAAUUGUGUGAUGCAUUAAUGACAUUAUUUUAAAUGUAAGAAAAAUGACACUUAUCAUAAAACUAAGAGAAAAAAUCCAAAAAAAAAGUUGUUAACAUUCCUCUUAUCAGGAUUCAGGCUUUAUUAGGAGUUCGUACGGUCUUUCAUUUAGUGAAGGUAGGGUCAAGGGUCAAGGGUCAAGCUGGUACGUGAGGCCGGCUUGUGAAUAUUUUAAGAAAAUAAAUGCGGGUGGGAAAAAUGGACCACUGGGGACCAAAACACGUGAAAAUUAAAAAACAAAAAAAUGUUCGUUAAACGCAAAAAAGGGAAAAUCAAAACAGAACGAAGGCAUGGUUGUUGUUAGGGAAAGAAAGAGGUGGAUAUCUUUUUCACCUCUUUACUCUUCUCUAAGCAAUCGUUCCUCCAUGAACCAUUGAAUUCUGUUUAAAUGAUAUAUUUUGUUUGCCACACUGUUUAUAUGAAAGAAAGCGAGACCCAAAAGAAACAAAGGAGACAGAAAAGAGAGAAAUAUUAGAUCAUCCUGUGCCGAGGGAAACAGGGGCGGAGGCUUGUUAAGGCCUGAAGGGGUCUGGGUCCUCCAAAAUUUUGACACAAUCUAAUAUUUGGUCUUUGCUUUCUAUUGGUGUAGGAAGUAUACAUAAUAAUUAUUGUUUGUGGCUCCCUCACAAUAAAGAAAAGAUGUAUUUCUCUUUACAAGUAAAAGACUAGGUGAUUUCUUCACAAAAUAGAAAGACUAAAAGUGAUUUUGGAGCCCACUAGUUUCAAAAAAUCUCCUUUAUCAAAUAGGAAGUGGACUUUUACCUAAAUAAAAAAAGAUUGAAAUUUUAAUUUUUAUUCCUAUAUGAAGCAACAUGAACUUAGUUUGAAGCAGUCGUCGCACACAUCAAAAUGAAAUAAUUGAAUUUGGUUGUUUGCUCUCCAACAUCCUGCUUCAAAUUUUUUAAUUUCAAGUUAGAUAACUUUACGUAGUCAUAGUUUUUUUCCUUUGUUUAUUUAUUUUUUAUGAUAAUAUAUUUGUAUAUGUUUAUAUGAGUGAAAAUUUCUCACAGACUCUUUGAUUAUGUACAUCGAAAGGAAAAUUGCAUAAAAGUUUAGCAUUGACUCAAUCAUAGAUAGUUUUCGAGAUAUGAUAGAACGACGAGUGUUAUUUUAAUACCUAAUUGAAUGAACAAUUGUUUUCUGCUUUUUAUUUUUCCAAACAUUGUUAAGGUUGAAAAAUUGAAAUUUUUUAAUGUCUUGUUUGGUUUAUAUGUUGGCCCCCUAACACAUAAAUUCUUGGUUCCGCCACUGGAGAGAAAUACUGUCAUGCAAUGGAUAUAACACUUUUUGUUAUUCUCAGCCAAUAACGUAAUGACAUGUUGGAUUAUUUUUUCACAUGUCUUUAUAUUAUUGGUCGAAAAUAGCAAAAUAAUAUUAUCCCCGUUAGCAGAAUUUUUUUUUUGCACCACUAGCCAUGCUUCUCCCACGUUUUUAUUUUUAUUUUUAUUUUUAUCACCUUUCUUAGUUCGAUCAUUUUUCCCUCCUUGAAGCUCUUCUCAACAUUUAAACGUAAACUCCAUUAUUUACUAUUAUAAAGAAAAAGAUUUUGUCCUAUUGUAAUUUAUAUCCGGUGUUGUAUUAAGAUGGGCUUUCAUUGUAACCAAAAAAAAAAAUGUACUUCAUGAAAAGGCAGCCUAAAAGGCAAUUAAUAAACGCAUUGAAAACUUGGACCGAACAUAUCAAGUUAUCAUGAACCUCGUUAAAAAGAGACACUUCAAGCACGGAAGUAAUAAGUUGUACCAUGAAACACAUGAAACACAUUGGGCACAGACAUCUUCCGAAACUUCAUUUUGGACAAACGAGCAAGCAAUCUUGUUAGCCCAAAGGUAAACCUAGCUAGACAAAUAAUUUAACGAACACAUGGCGUGCAUUACUCAAAGACUCAUGUGAAGCAAAUUUGUACCAAAAACAAAGACAUGUCAAGCCAGCCAGUACGUUACACAUGGAAGGGAGGACAUUUAAUUAGAAGACGCAUGAAUGGUUUGAGAUAUGUGUUUGUUCUGUUUAAUAUAUUUUCUUAAAAAAUAUCUUAUUUUACUUUUAAAAAAAUUAAUUACAUAAAGUUGUGCCAGGUAAAUGCACAAAUUAAUGUCAAUCUUUCUUAAUCUCCUGAAGUAGAAAAACCCGAUCAACAAACAUUGAGUAUGGGAUGGGCUACAAUUUGUAGGACCCAAGUAGGGUUUCUAGGCUCAGAGUCCGAGAGAUAUAUCAAGAAUUCUAUAGUGAGGGCCUGUUUGUCCUUUCCUUUGUCCACCGCUCCUUUUUGCCGCCUGCGGGGGUUGGCUUUGCUCAAAGGAGCGGAGAGGCUUGCUUGAUCAACACCAAUGCCUCGAUUGGAUGCGUCUCUUGGCUCGCAGAGAGGACUUCUUCAAUUUCUGAAUAAAAUUGAAAGUUGAAUCAGUUUGCCAAAAGCGAGCGGGCUUGAUCGAGGCCCUGUAUCUCAACUCUUCGUGACUAUGAUUCAUGGUGUUGCGUAGGCGUGCCACUAUUGGGUAUAUGACCAGCCCAAUAGAUUUGGUGUGGAUGGUUAUGAAUGAUUAAUCCUGAUGAAGUUCGCGCGUCUCUUUCUGGACCUCUUCUCAAGCCAUUGUGCUCCAAAGGGGGUACUGGCCUGGAUUGAUUCUUUUCUACGCCUCAGUUAAGAAGACUUCAAUAUUCUUUCUUCCGCGAGUGUCAACCUAACAAGUAUGAGCAGUACCUGAACAGGUAAGAGAGAGAGAGAGAGAGAGAUAGAAAGAGACCAAGAUCGUGGUUAGUAAGACCUUAUCUGGGUUUUACCAACCAGUUUCAAUAUCUAUAUCGUCCUCGGGCUGGAUUAAUAGUUAACUCAGGCCCAGUGGUAUAAUUCAGGCCCAACUCAACUUCCUAUCCCUUAUCUCGUUACUGUUUUAUUCGGGCCCUAGUUCCCUUUAGGGCUCGAACGUUGGUUCUUUGGACUUUUAUAAAGGAACAAAGGUGGGAAUUCAAUUUUACUUGUUAAAAUAAUCUAUAAUUCAUUUUAGGCAAUUAGAUGAAUUUAUUUAAGACGAUUUUCUGCAACUUAUACCUGAUCUAAGUGUAAACAAGACUGAAUAACAGAACCUUCUUGAAUUAAACCCAUCAAUCAUUCUUAAAUUCAAAUUACAAAGCAAGGAAUGAGAGACUGGAGAUUUCUCAAUCCAGUUAAGUGAUUACAUGAAUUGAAACAUAUUACUUUUAAAAGAAAAUCAUACUAUGAAUAUGGCAGAGCAACGAGAGAUAAACACAAGCGUUGUCGACUGGUUAUCUAAAGAAAGUAGGCAGAUUGUUAUCUUUAAGAGUUGUCAAGUGUUUUUUAAGACGCUUGCGUGUGAUUUUGGGGAGAGAGUCCUCUUCUUUUGAAGUAGAGCCUCUUUAUUAAUAGAGAUGGAAGGAGCUCGUAAUGAUAGAAAUUGCGAAGACCUUUGGCUUGCGGUUCAAGGUCAGCUAUUGGUUUGUUGGUCUUAACCAGUUCAUAGAGGGAAUGAUGGAGGGAUUCUGUCAGGAACCGUCGGUUUUCUUUAUGAAGUUCUCUUGAUUUGACUCCUUCGUACUUGAAGACCUGGCUGGCAAUUUGAUCCUACUCUGGUUUUGGUGGCUUCUAUAUGGCUUGUUUUCUUGUUGGGAGAGAAGGAGGUCAAGUCGUCAUUAAUGAUGAUAAUCCCCUUCAGCCUCCCACGUGGGCCUAGAAAACAUGUUUGCCGAUUUUUAACCUUUAGUGCGAGAUAAGGAUUUGAUCCUUUACAAUUUGGGCAUUCUUAUUGAUUUAUACCAAAAAAAAAAAGCCCGUUAGGAAAAAGAUGACUCUUUAAGAAAAGACAAGUGUUAAUGGGCCUGCUUUUUCCUUUAAAAUAUUCUUUUUGACCCGUUAGACCAUUUUUGGUCCAUUUACCAAAACUGGGUACAAACAUGGCCUUAUAUAUGGCCCUUAUAUAAGGUUUUAUCUCUUAAUCGUUGGAUCAAAUUAGUCAGUCGUUGAAUCAAAUUAGUUAGCCUAAUCCAACAGUUAAGAUAUAAGACAUCACCUAAGAGCCAUAAAUAAGGCCCUUACUAUAGAAUGACUUAUCUGAUUUGGGCCCUACUAAAUUAUUGACUCACUUCCUUCCACUAAUUGGGAUAACAAGAAUGUCAUUUUAAGGAUGAUGAUACCUAAAAUUCGAUCAACUUUAAAUAUGUGAGAUGCAUGUGUCUUUGACAUAUAAGUGGGUUGGUCCCAAAGAAAAGGGGACAAAAAGAGUCCUCAUCAAAGUAUGUAACUGGUCUUCGUUUUAUAGGAGAUGGAGAGUCCUCAACUUUAAAUACGUUAACGUAUUACUUCGUGGCAAUACGUUAAGGUGAUAGCCUAUCAAAGUGUGGCACGCGGUUAGUAUGGCUGAGUGGGUUGUUGGGUCAGUUAUGGUAAAAUAUUUUCAUGUUGCUCUUGUAGGUUCUAAGUGAUUUUAGGAAUUCAAGAGUAAAUGGAGAUCUUCAAACAAGUAAGCUAAUGGAGAUCUUCAAAAAUUUGGUCAACUAAUAUGGUCAAUUUUGUUUUGCGUGUCCAAUAGCAUUAUUGAUUGUUUUUUUUUAUCGACAAUUAAAUUCAUUUAAUACCCUGUUGAAGUAAUUUUGCAAUUUUCUGUUUCAUGGACCACCUUCCUUCCUUGCUGCAGUAAACCGACAUUCAACUUUACAGCGUUAUUAUAUUCCAUUUUCUUUCUCCAUCAAGCCUCAAGGUUUCGUACACAACCAGAAAAUGAGGAAUAUUAAAUCAUACGUGAAUUUGAAAAUUCACAGAAAAGUACACGUACAUGAAACGAUAUGUAGCACCUUGUCGUACCUAAACAAAAUCUCCCCCAUCAUAAUCAUAAUCAAAUCAUUAUCGUUCCUUAAUUAAUUAAAUUAAUUGACUAAUUACAUCCUGCUCACCCUGCUGCUGGACGACCCAAUCUCCUUGGCAAUCUCUCUGAGCACAAACUUCUGAAUCUUCCCAGUCGACGUCUUCGGCAGCUCCUCCUUAAACACCACCGUUUUGGGCACCAUGUAGUGCGGCAGCCUUCCCCUACAAUACUCCAUCAUCUCCUUCUCCGUCGGCUUAGGGCUUACGUCACUCUUCAUGCUCACAAACGCGCACGGCGUCUCCCCCCAAAACUCGUCAGGCUUCGCCACCACCGCAGCUUCGUUCACUGCCGGGUGCGUAUACAGCACCGACUCAACCUCCACGCUGCUCAGAUUCUCGCCCCCGCUUAUAAUUACGUCCUUUGAUCUGUCCUUAAUUUCCAAAUAGCCAUCGGCGUGCAUCACCCCCACGUCACCGGUGUAAAACCAUCCGCCUUUCAUACACUUGGCCGUCCCCAAUUGGUCCUUUAAAUACCCCAGCAUCACAGACCCUCCUUUCAAAACGACCUCCCCAAGCGACAAACCGUCGCGUUUCACACUCCGCCCCGAGUUCGGAUCCACCACGUCCAUUCGAGUCAGCCCAACCGUUCUCACUCCUUGCCUCGCCUUUAGCCUCGCUCUUUCACUCGCAGGCAACAAAUUCCACUUCCCCUUCCACGCGCACGACACCACUAGCCCCGCCGUUUCGGUCAACCCGUACCCGUGGCUCACCACGAACCCCAUCGAUUCGGUCCGGAGCAGAACCGCUGCCGGUGGCGGAGCUCCAGCUGUCAAGAUCUGAACCGGGUUCUCGAGCUUUUCGGUUCCGGGAGGGACGUUUGUGAGCAUGUUGAGCACCACGGGUGCGCCGCACAUGUGAGUUACACGGUGUCGUUUAAUCACGGCGUAGAUGAUUUGGGCGUCGAAUUUGCGGAGGCAUAUGUUGGUUCCGCCAAGGGCCGCGAUCCCGUACGGGUAGCUCCAGCCGUUGGCGUGGAACAUGGGUAGGGUCCACAAGUAGACCGGCUGUUUGUGAACGCCCCAAUCGAUCAGGGAAUCGACGGCCAUGAUGAAGACGCCUCUGUGGCAGUGAACCACGCCCUUCGGCGACGACGUGGUCCCCGAUGUGUAGUUGAGGGUCAUCGGGUCCCACUCGCUGGUCGGCGGAACCCACUCGAAGUCCUGAUCGCCUCUCUCGACCAUGUCCUCGUACAUGCAGAGGAAACGAUCGAGCGGUGUGCGUUGGGGUGCGUCAGCAUCGUCGGCAAUGAGGACGAGGAGAGGUUUCGGGGUGUCAGGCGGGAAGAGAGAGAUGGCGUCGAGGACGAGGGAUCGCGAUUGGUGGUCGACGAAGACGAGUUUUGAUUCGCUGUGGCGCAGGAGUAUGGAGAUGGUGCGGGUGUCGAGGCGAAGGUUGAUGGUGUUAAGGAUAGCGCCGGACAUGGGGACGGCGAAGUGGAGCUCGUACAUGGCGGGGGUGUUGGGAGAGAGAACAGACACCACGUGGCCACUCUUGAUGCCGAGCGAUGAUAUAGAGGAAGCGACUCGGAGGCAUCGACGGUGGGUCUGCGUCCAUGUGUAGGUGGUAUCGUUGUAAAUAAGAGAGGGGCAGUCACCGUAGACGGUGGCAGAUCUUUCUAGAAAGCUGAGGGGAGUAAGAGGAGAUGAGUUUGGAGGGGAGGGCUUCAGGUCUUCCAUUAUUUUCAGUUCAGUGUCAUCAGAGUGCGUUUUGUUUUUAUACUUUACUUGAUAGAUAUAGAGAUAAGGCCAACAAUAAAAUAUUUUGGAAUUUUGCGAGGGUAGUCAUACCAAUCCUCUUUCGCGGCUGCCAGCUUGUCUUUCUCUAUAUAGAAAUAUGAAAUAUGGACUCGCCCAUGCCAUCAGAAAGGAUAGAACAUGAACUAUGGAAAUAUUUACCUAACAACUUUUAGGAGCAAUUUGACAUUGGUAUAAUGUGAAAAUAAUUCUUAUCAGAUUUUUUAUGAGAGAAAUUAGUUGUGAGAGAAAAUAGUUUGGCGUUUGACAAAUUUUUAAUUAAAAGUGUCGUUGGUACCGAUUCCCACAUAAUCAGAAAAUAAUUCCUGUAUAAUCAGAAAAUGAAAGCACCUCAUUAGCUACUUUCCCUUAUAGCUUUCUCUUAUAGCAAUUUUUAACAAUAAGUGAUUUUUUCAUAGUUUACCAAAUGAGCUGGUCUCCCUAAUUUUUUUUAAAAAAUCACUUAUUACCCCAAAUAAGCAAUGUCAAACGGGCACUUACAUGAAUCCCUAAGCCUCUCCUCCUCCCUCAACCUCUCUUCCAUCUCAACUCAAUAUCUCUCACUCUCAGAGCCAGUUUGGCAUUGAUGUGUUGUGAAAAUAAUUGCUGUCAGAUUUGCUGUGAGAGAAAUCAGCUGUGAGAUAAAGCAGUUUGGUGUUUGAUAAAUUUUUUGUUAAAAGUGUUGUUAGUAUUAAUUUUACGCAUAAUCAUAAAAUGAUUGCCGCAUAAUCAUUAAACCCAGCGCUUAUUUGAAACUGAUUCAUGCAUAAUCAGAAAAUAAAAGCACCUCAUUAGCUGUUUUCCUUUAUAGUUUUCUCUCACAGUAAUUUUUAACAAUAAGUAAUUUAUCAUAGUUUACCAAACGGAUUGGCCUUCUCAAAUUUUUUUUUAAAUCACUUAUUACCCUAAAUAAACAAUGUCAAACUGACACGCAGUCUGUCUCUCACCCAAACCAACCACCGUCAUUUUUUCGUUGACAAAAAAACAAAAAACCACCUUCAUUUUUUUAAAAUUAUUAUAUCCAUAAAUAUAUUUUUAAUACUUAUCCCUCGGUGUUCCCAAGGGAAUCCUUUCACUGCCGAAAGAAACACAAAAAUACGAGCCUUCACUUAUUUUCUUAUCCUUCCCCUCUCUUUUCCUUCUCUCUCUCCUCCCUCUUCUCUGUUUGAUCUCCGGUUUUUACCCUUCGCAUCUUUGUUCUCACUUUUUUUUCGCAUACUUGGUAUACCGCAAAAUCCAACCGCACUUCAUGACAACCGUCAUCCCCGGUAACCGCAAUUAUGCGGUUCGGUGAUGAUUCAUAUUUUGGCUAUACCGCAAUCAUUCGGUCGGUUUUCGAAUUGCAAUCACCCAUAAUUCUAAUUUAGCUAUAAAAAAAAAACAGUAUAGUUCUUUUAAAACUAAGGUGAAAAAAUCCGGAAGUAUAGUAUCCAACUAGUUGAGGGUAAAAAUAUGAUAGUAUUUCGCCUAGCCCAAAGGGCUUAGCCACAUAGGCGUGCUUGGCCCGAUAUUUUGAAAUCUUCGUCCCUCUCGAAAAAAGUGACUAAGCCCAAUUGGCCGAAUUCUAGUCCCGCCUGAGCCUGAAAAUUUAAGGUCAGUGCUGCCCUGACCCACUGAUGUACCAUAACCAUAUGCAUAACUCGUCCGCGAUGUAAAGUAAAGCAUCUUAAAUGAUCUUGGCGUUUAGGUGUUAUUGGGUUUAAUUUUAAGGGCAUCUAAGUAUAUUCUAGUGAGUUUUUUUGUUUUUUUGGCUAUAUUUUAAAUUUAUUCUAAAAGUCUACAUUUAUGAAAUUAAGGACUAAAUUUUGUCUAUAAACAAUUAAAACUCUUCUUGUGGUUCGAUUGACAAUGAUAAUAUGGUGGCUUUGCUUUGAUUUUCUUUCUUCUAUUUAUAUUGUAUAUAAGUUAUAAUAUUUCGCAACCAUUUAAAAGAAAAUUGCACAAAUACUCUCUGAAAUAUUAGGACUGUAUAUUUGCCACCAAUAAUUUUUUUUUUGUUGACAAUUUGCAAGCCAAACUUCACGUUUGGUUUGCUUUCCUUUCUUAGCACACACGGAAGUUAACUUCACAAUCUCCUCAUAGCAAUUAAUUUUUCCUGUUAUAAAUCGGAUUGUAUUCAUGUCUAUAUUAUUUCCUACCUUAAAUAGAUUUCCUGUAUCAGUAUAAAUAGGGACUUUGUGUAAUAUGUUUAUAUUCUCUACAAAGUUAAGUUCAGUCUAAAAGUAUUUGCUUAUUUACUGUUUUAGAGUGAUUAAGUGAGAGCGAGUUCGAGUUCUGAAAAGUAAAACAGUAAAUAAGCCGAAAGUAUAUUCUUUUGAGGGUCCGUGGCAUAAAAAUUUCUAGACAACCUUCAAAAUGACACACAAAGCCCUAUGUAACGGACUCGAAUUUGUUUGAAUUUUUUUUUUGUGGACAAAUUACUCGAAUUUGUUUGAAUGGUUUAUUCUGUUAUUGUGCUUACCCUACCCCCAGAGUGGAUGUCUCUAUCGAAGGGAAAGCGUCGGAAUUAAAUUACGGGAAAGUUGAGCAGGGAGACUUACAGGCGAAGGAAGCGAUUGCCUGCCUCCCUUGCCUCCAUUCAUUUUCAGUUUCUUCUGUGAUUCAAUUUCAGUUUUUAUAAGUUGAGAGAAUUUCAAGCGAAAGCAGCAGAAGCAGCCGGUGGAGAAGGAAUGGGGGUGCUCUCAAACAAGAUCCAGAGGGAUCAACUCAGACCUGGAGAUCAUAUUUAUUCCUGGAGGCGCGCCUACCUCUAUGCCCAUCACGGUUCUCUUCUCCUUUUCCCCCUGAUUUUUUAUUUUUAUUUUUAUUUUUCAUUAUUAUUAUGUAUUUCAUGUUCGUGAUUUUCUGAUGUCGUUGUUUUGGAUGGAUUUUCAAUUUUGUAUAUAUCUUUGUUGUUCGGUCUUAUGGAAAUGAAUCUUGAGUAAAGACUCUAUUUUUUUCUUCUUCUUUUUGAGUACAACAGUAAGAUAAGACUAUUGUGAAUAGACAUACAAUAGCAUAUGAGCAUUGAUUUAUUGAUAUUUUGUUUGUACGAAUUGAACUAAAGAAAUGUCACAGUGACUGUAGGUGACAAUGGCGAUCUGUUUGUAUUUUAGCCAUUGUCUCACUCAGGGCAUGGAAAAUAUGUCGAAUCUCCAAUUGUUAUGUCCCUAAAUUUGUUCCCAAAAUGUGUGGUUUGAUUUUAAAUAGAUUCAUAAUAUGAUAUUCACCGCCUCCUCCCCCUCCACAAGAAUAAUCCUGGGGUUGGAGUAUGAACCUAUUGUUUGGAUUGAUAGGAAUGACCUAGAUGAAUCGACUACCUCUGAAGAGGUGGUUUGUUGAAGUUAAUAAGUUUUGUUUGAAGCAGGUACAAAAGGAGUGUUGACAUCUUAGUUCUUUACCUCUGCAUCUGUAAUUUUUAUGGGUGAAAACAGUUUAGCACAGUUUCUUUCCCUCGGCAUCCAUUAUAAUUUAGUUUUUCUUCUUUGUAGUUUUCACCUGUUUUCCUUAAUUGUCUAUGAGGAGAACCUUUGUGUUUUUGACAUUUAAAUGCUGCAUUUAGGUCACCAUGGCAUUGCUGAUAAUUUAUCUGCUAUGUGAUAUCAGGGAUAUAUGUCGGUGAGGGAAAGGUUAUCCACUUCACUCGGGGAGCUGGCCAGGAAAUUGGCACAGGAACUGUGUUAGACCGCAUCAUUUUCAGCUCCUCCCCAUCCCAUUCCCCGGACAAUCCCUGCCCAAAAUGCGGUGAUCAAUCAAGUCUUGACGGUGUCAUGUCUUCUUGCAUAGAUUGUUUUCUAUCUGGCGGUGAUCUCUACCUCUUUGAAUAUGGUGUCAAUGCUGCUUUCUUUAUUGCCAAAGCUAGAGGGGGUACCUGUACGCUUGCCGCGUCUGACCCACAACAAGAUGUCCUUCAUCGUGCUUUUUAUCUUCUCCAGAAUGGUUUUGGUAGUUAUGACAUUUUCAAAAACAACUGUGAAGACUUUGCAAUAUAUUGCAAAACAGGUUUGCUCGUGUACACUAGCAUUAGUGUGGGCAGGAGUGGACAGGCUGCUUCCUUUUUAGCAGCUGCAAGUGCUGUUAUUUCUUCACCGCUUCGAUUUUUGACUACUAGUUUUACUGGUCUGGGUGCUGUUGGUUGCGGCAUGUAUUGUGUUAGCCGAUUGGUUUCUGAUAUCGGAAUACGUCGUGAUGUUAUAAAAAUUCCAGUGGAGAGACUUACUGCUCCGUGUGGCCUAGAUGAGGCAGAGUUUGCGACUGAAGUGGUCAAGACAGAUUAAUUUGUGUGCAUAAACCGAAGUUGUAUGGCUUGAAGGGGUUUGUUUCUGUUGAUUGUUGUAUUAUGCAUGGAGUGUUUCCAGGAACAUUUUAUGAUUGCUUGUAUUAAGGCGGACGUUGCCAUGAUCAAUGUGCCUGCUCUUCUUUUGAACUUUUUUUUUUCCAGAAAAAAUAUGCUCAUCAUUUUAUAACCAUGGAUAAUUUGUUCGUUUGUUGGUUGGUUUAUUUUACAAGGCAAUUGUUAAGUUGUAAGUCUUAUGCACUUCAUGUACUUUGUUCAUUUACUUCAUUUUUCCUUAACCGUGGCAUUAAGACCAUCAUGAACAGGCCGGUCAAGAAAGACCAAUACUACAAUUUUCAGGAGUUCAAGGAAGCCUUGCUCUUUAAGUUCUCCCCCUGCUUCUCGGCUUAUGUAGAAACAAGCACCAUAGACAAAAUUGUGCAAUAUCGAUAGCUGUUGUUUAAUCAUAUAAUUACAACAAAAACACGGAUGGGAAGAAAUCCUGUAGUGCAACAAAAAAAGUCCAUAAUCAAAAUACCAAAUGUUAAUCCAACAAUGAGAUUUCCAGCUAGUACGGCCAAAAACCACCUCCACCUGGCUUUUUUACGAGAAUCUGACUGUAUUCCGGCCUCGAUGUCUGCAGUUUACACAUUCAAAUGUUAAGAUGCUGGUCACAAAAAAGUCGAGUUUUUCUAUAUAUAUAUAUAUUUGGGUCUUUUUACACAAUAAUAAAACUUAAGAGCUUAAGGAUUAAGUAUUGGGGUGAACAAAGAAAAGUGCGGGAUUAAAAUAGAAAAACUCAAAAAUUAAACCAUUUCAAUUGAGAUGGAAAGAAAAAAAAAAAGGGAAGAACAUGAACUAAGUCACUGUCGUGUGCAUUAAGCUUCCGUCUUGGAAGGUUUAGAAACAUCUAUAACUCAGAACAUCAAGAUACUUAAAAUCGGAUUGUUCGCCAAAAGAAAACAAAAGAUACUAAAAGCAGGUUGAAACAGCAAAGAGGAUCCUUAAAGUGGCCCUUCUUUAUAUCACAAAUCAUAUAACCUUGUUGGGAUGUAAGUGAAGGUUCAGAAGAUCAAAUAGUUGUUUCAUUUUCACCUGGUGCAUUUGCUGGUUGUUUUUACCCUUUACUUUUUCAAGGGUUUCUCAUACCAAUUUUUGUUCUGGUCUCUAAUUAAUACAAGCUGGUAAUCCAAUAAGCAUCAACUUCAAUAAAUUUCUAUAGUAGCUUAAUCAUCAAGCAUUGGGUGAAAAUAAGCAAUAUUACCUUCCAUCCAAUGAUCCAAUCAGGUUCUCAAAAUAUUUUUCAUUUGUUAAUAAAGUUUAGCAGUGAAUUUAAAGUAUAGGGAUUAAAAUGUGAUGUAUUCAGAAUUUGUUCCUAGGAGUGGUGGAUUUUCAUUGUUUCUUUGCUGGGUUUUUGUUUACGUUUUCAUAAAUGCAAUGUCUGUGAUCACAUCAGAUUUUGGCUUAGUUGUACUGGGUAUAGGUUUCCUUGAGAUGGCCAGGGAAUUUUGUUCUUUAUAUGCACUUGCAAUUAACUUUUUAGCUUCCUAGAAAUGCAUAUGCCUAGCUUCCUUCCUUACUUAUGUCAAACCUCCAAUUCAGCUACACUCCAUGUGAUGGGGCUUGCUACGCUAGCCUAGCUAGAAAAGGCGCCAUUUCUUAACUAACUUCUAGAGCAGACUACAAUUGCGAGGUUGAAAGAAGAGUUCCCAGGUUGAAAGAUCAAAUUGGGGGUGUAAGGACUGUGGAAAUUGCCAUAUGAAUGGCCACUUAGGUAAAGAAACAAACUUUGAAUACUACCAAACCUUAAUAGGACCCAAGGUUUCUGAUUUAAGCUUUUCUUAUGUUCAUCCAUAACUCUGAGUCAGAAUAACUCGUCUAAAAAACCUCCAAAAGUUUCAUUUAAUUUCAUCACAUAUCCCAAAAGUUUUAUUUGGAAAGUUCAAUAAGAAAAAGUUACCAAAUUGCAAGAAUCUGUAUAUUUCAAUCGUUGUGUAAGAUUCACAUAUCGCAUGAGGUGAUUAGCAAUAUGAACAGAAUCAAUUUCAAGAAUCGAAAUUACUUUAUCAACCAAACAACAGAAUAUAACGAGAAUUGGGAAACCUAAAAGCAUGGAUUAUAAGAAGAGAAAGAGAACUUACGAGAUCUUUGAAAACGAGGAACGCGAUCACGAAGAAAAGAACAAACAGGAUUUCAAACUCGGCGAAUUUGACGAACCCAAAGACCGACUGAACCCACCGAGUCAAUGCGGACUCGUUCGAAUUCCUGCUCCCGACUCGCUUCCCCAUCUCUCUUGCUCCUCCUCUGUCUCUUCUGCCUUCGUUUACCUUGGUAGUUGGUAGUAAAGGGGUUCGGGUCCGACAGCUCGAAGAUGGCAUUGAUUUUCACGGGUUUCGUUUUAUUUUAGAGAAAUUAAAAAAUAAAAAAAUAAAACAGAAAAGUCAGAUUCUGAACAAAAAGAUAAAAAAUAAUGGUCAAUUUGUAAUUUUAGCUAAAUUGUGAAAUGGUAAAUGAGAUUUCUUUAUCUACACACAUUGAUAAAAUGUCAAUUUUACUACUCAAAACUAUUGUCAGUUUAGGUCAUUUAUAAACGGACCGUGAUUUUGGUUUCAUAAUUUUUUUCCUUUCCUCCUAUUAUCUCUUUUGAUCCUUGCAGAAUUCUAUUAAGAACUUGAUAGCAUGGAGUAUAACUUGUAUGAAAAUUAGGUUGUUGUCUUAAAAAAAAAAAGGUGAGUUAUUGAGUGGACGUGAUUGGUAACGACAAUACCUUUAUUUCACCAAAUAAAAUUAUUUUUGCUCACCACCUUUUAUAAAGCACAUUGCAACUAAAAGUUUUUCAAGCUUAUGGAAAGUGUUUUUGACACUAUAUAUAAGACACAAUCUUAUGAAGUGAAAAUAUAUUAUCGAUAUUUUGAAUUUUAUACAAGAGUGCAUUGAAGCCUUUUGGGAGUACAACUAAUGUUGCUCUAAUUUUAUUAUUCUUUGCAAUAAAAAUUUGAUUACCAUUAAUUUAUAAUAUUAUUAUUAUUAUUAUUGUUUUCGUUUUGGAAAAAAUAUACAAUACUAUUCAAUUUAGUAAUAUUAAAUUAAAUUUACCAAAUUUUUUAGUAAUCUUAAUUGUAUUUUACUUGGUCUAGCACUUGGUGUAGAUUAGUCAUUUUACUUCUCUUGAUGGGACAAAUAAUAGGACAAAAUAAUGAUGUAAAUAUUUAGACUUUGAAUGGCAAACAAAUAGGGAUUUGUGUGACUCGUAUUAUCGUGCUCGCCAAAAUACACGAAAUCCCUAAAUUGAAACACGGAAGACGGAAAGACAGAGAGAGAGAGAGAGAGAGAGGAAGAAAGAAAGAGAGGCUCACGGUUCUCAUUGUUCCUACACUGUAAUCCAUGGCGUCAACGAGUCAACGACCCCUCCUCAUCGCCCUCCUAACCCUCUCGAUCUUCGCAAUCUCAGCCACCGCAACAAGGCCCUGCAAGACCCUCUUCAUUUCCUCCUACUCAUUCUCCCUCCGUCGUCUCCCCUCCUCCUCUUCCUCCUCCGGCUUCGUCACCGUCGUCACCGAGAUCAGCCGACUCCGCCCCGUACGCUACGACGACCUUGUCCUCCAACCCCACGAAGAAGAUGAUAAGCGAACUCAGGCGGCGUCGCUCUUUCCCUUGAUCGGAACGUCGUCGGCCUCCUCCUCGUCCUACGACCUCAACUCUCUCCGCGAUCGCACCAGGGACAUCCUGAGCAUCGUCGUUUCCCUGCUCUUCGGCGUCGGCUGCGGCGCUCUCACCGCCGCUACCAUGUACUUGGCUUGGUCCGUCUUCUUCAGUCGCUACGACAAUGGCUCUGCGUCUUCCUUCGAUGACGAUUUCUAUGACGCCAGCCCUAAGAAGAUAGGUUAUGUAAAGAUUCCGGAGGUGGCCGCUGACUCCGUGCCAACACCACCGUCUCCAGUCAAGGAAGCCGCCGCGGUGUGAAUAUGACGAUUAUGGCAAAUUGGUAAUUCCAUAAAUAAUUUAUAAUUUAAAAAAAUGUUGCCUUUGGAUGAUGGGCACGUUGUGACUGUGUUGUGGAUUCGUGAUAAAAUAAGCUUAUAUCGGACGCUGUGUUAUGUAUUUAUCAUUUUAU
rnacentral:lncRNA from 1 species